GGCGAGGUAGCUCAGGCGGUUAGAGCGCAGGAUUCAUAACCCUGAGGUCGGGAGUUCAAGUCUCCCUCUCGCUA
rnacentral:tRNA from 3 species